rnacentral:lncRNA from 1 species
UGCUAACAGUGAAUAUCUCAUCACAGUGACAAAGCAGGACACUACAUGAAAAUGAUUUUGAAGAAUGUAUUUAGGCGUUCAUAUUCUAUUCUAACAUUUGUUGCAGUAUACAUUUUACAACAUUUACACUACAACUGCAAAAGUGUAUUUUUAAGCAUUUUUGUACUACUCAAAAUCAAGUUUCUAUUUUCUAAUGCAUCUAAAUAUUUCAGCAUCUCCUGCCAGUACAAGCACUUUUACAACCGAGUCUCAAACAGCAGAACCUACAACCUCUGCCACAACAAACCCUCCAUCAACUGUGUCUCCAACAUCAGCUGCUUCAAGUGAGUAUUUAAUUCAUUGACCAUUGUGUGAACAUUUUAA